rfam:Maribacter sedimenticola strain DSM 19840 genome assembly, contig: Ga0070243_107
UAGUUAUCAAGAAAGGUGGAGGGAUUAGACCCUUUGAAACCUUAGCAACCCUUUGUUCCAUACAAAGAAGGUGCUACAUUCUACCCUUAGGGGAAGGAUAACAG